CAAGCGGUGGAUGAUGUGGUUUAAUUCGAUGCAACGCGAAAAACCUUACCUACCCUUGACAUGUCAAGAAUUCUGCAGAGAUGUGGAAGUGCUCGAAAGAGAACUUGAACACAGGUGCUGCAUGGCCGUCGUCAGCUCGUGUCGUGAGAUGUUGGGUUAAGUCCCGCAACGAGCGCAACCCUUGUCAUUAGUUGCUACGCAAGAGCACUCUAAUGAGACUGCCGGUGACAAACCGGAGGAAGGUGGGGAUGACGUCAGGUCCUCAUGGCCCUUAUGGGUAGGGCUACACACGUCAUACAAUGGCCGGUACAGAGGGCUGCCAACCCGCGAGGGGGAGCCAAUCCCAGAAAACCGGUCGUAGUCCGGAUCGUAGUCUGCAACUCGACUGCGUGAAGUCGGAAUCGCUAGUAAUCACGGAUCAGCUUGCCGCGGUGAAUACGUUCCCGGGUCUUGUACACACCGCCCGUCACACCAUGGGA
rnacentral:rRNA from 1 species